CCACCGCUUUAAACGAUCGCGCUGUACGGGGUGACCCGUACUGUGAGGAAAGUCCGGGCUCCGCAGAGCAGGAUAACAGAUAACGUCUGCCGAAGGUGACUUCAGGGCCAGUGCAACAGAAAGAUACCGCCGCGUUUUUCGCGGUAAGGAUGGAAAGGCGAGGUAAGAGCUCACCGGCGUGCGGGAGACCGUACGGCCAUGUAAACCCUAUCCGGAGCAACACCCACCGAAGCGUUUUAAGCUUGCUCGGCAGCUUCACGGGUGGCAAAGAGGCGUGCGGCGACGUACGUCCAAGAUAGAUGAUCGUUCACGACAGAACCCGGCUUACAGAGGCGAUGGA
rnacentral:RNase_P_RNA from 1 species